AGAGUUUGAUCCUGGCUCAGAUUGAACGCUGGCGGCAGGCCUAACACAUGCAAGUCGAACGGUAGCACAGAGAGCUUGCUCUCGGGUGACGAGUGGCGGACGGGUGAGUAAUGUCUGGGAAACUGCCUGAUGGAGGGGGAUAACUACUGGAAACGGUAGCUAAUACCGCAUAACGUCGCAAGACCAAAGAGGGGGACCUUCGGGCCUCUUGCCAUCAGAUGUGCCCAGAUGGGAUUAGCUAGUAGGUGGGGUAAUGGCUCACCUAGGCGACGAUCCCUAGCUGAUCUGAGAGGAUGACCAGCCACACUGGAACUGAGACACGGUCCAGACUCCUACGGGAGGCAGCAGUGGGGAAUAUUGCACAAUGGGCGCAAGCCUGAUGCAGCCAUGCCGCGUGUAUGAAGAAGGCCUUCGGGUUGUAAAGUACUUUCAGCGGGGAGGAAGGUGUUGUGGUUAAUAACCACAGCAAUUGACGUUACCCGCAGAAGAAGCACCGGCUAACUCCGUGCCAGCAGCCGCGGUAAUACGGAGGGUGCAAGCGUUAAUCGGAGUUACUGGGCGUAAAGCGUGCGUAGGCGGCUUAUUAAGUCGGAUGUGAAAUCCCCGAGCUUAACUUGGGAAUUGCAUUCGAUACUGGUGAGCUAGAGUAUGGGAGAGGAUGGUAGAAUUCCAGGUGUAGCGGUGAAAUGCGUAGAGAUCUGGAGGAAUACCGAUGGCGAAGGCAGCCAUCUGGCCUAAUACUGACGCUGAGGUACGAAAGCAUGGGGAGC
rnacentral:rRNA from 1 species